rnacentral:rRNA from 1 species
AUUGAACGCUGGCGGCAUGCCUUACACAUGCAAGUCGAACGGCAGCACGGGAGCUUGCUCCUGGUGGCGAGUGGCGAACGGGUGAGUAAUGCAUCGGAACGUGCCCUGAAGUGGGGGAUAACGUAGCGAAAGUUACGCUAAUACCGCAUAUUCUGUGAGCAGGAAAGCAGGGGAUCUUCGGACCUUGCGCUUUUGGAGCGGCCGAUGUCGGAUUAGCUAGUUGGUGGGGUAAAGGCCCACCAAGGCGACGAUCCGUAGCGGGUCUGAGAGGAUGAUCGCACACUGGAACUGAGACACGGUCCAGACUCCUACGGGAGGCAG